GUUUUUUUUAAUAUUCGCAGUAAAGCUUGCUGCUGCUACUCAUUUGAGUCCGCAGUGCUUUCAUUUGAGUCAGCUGUACCACUGACUGCAGAGGUUUGCUGCUUCACUAUUGAGGCCAACGGGAGUACGAACUCACUGAGAGGAAUGAACAACUGUGGACGCGCGGCCUUGAGAGCUGUAACACCGCGAAGGUCUGCAGCUUCACUCGUGAAACCAACAAGACCACGAACCCAGCAGAAGGAAAAACUACGAACCCUUUCGAACAUCAGAAAUAACAAACUCUGGUCACACUAUCUUUAAGAAUUGUAACAGUCACUGUGAGGGUCCGCAGUUUCAUUCUUGAUGUCAGUGAAACCAAGAACCCACCAAUUCCGGACACAGCACCAGGUCCAGAUUGGCAAGAAAGGACCCUGGGCUUGCUCAACCGAGAGGGACAGGAGAACUGGGAGGGCAGCCUUAAGGAAGGGUGUGACCCAGAGGCUGGGCCAGGGGGCGGAACCAUGAAGGACGAGCGUAAUGCCUGGCUCCUUCCACCUCUGUUCAUCACCACUCUUUUUGCUGUGAUUCCAACAACAUUUCCUAUACGUGAAAACAUUUUGAGGGAAGACUCACGAGAAUCGUUUCACGAACUUAUAAGCAAGAGUUCAGAGAAGUCCCAACGUAGAAAGUGGAAUUCAUGGUGGAUUCUUUUGAUGGGG
rnacentral:lncRNA from 10 species